rnacentral:rRNA from 1 species
UACGGGGGGGGCAAGCGUUGUUCGGAAUUACUGGGCGUAAAGGGCGCGUAGGCGGCCUGCUAAGUCGGAUGUGAAAUCCCUCGGCUCAACCGAGGAACUGCAUCCGAUACUGGCGGGCUUGAAUCCGGGAGAGGGAUGUGGAAUUCCAGGUGUAGCGGUGAAAUGCGUAGAUAUCUGGAGGAACACCGGUGGCGAAGGCGGCAUCCUGGACCGGCAUUGACGCUGAGACGCGAAAGCGUGGGGAGCAAACAGG